GCCGGGGUAGCCCAAAGGCAGAGGCAACGGACUCAAAACCCAUACAGUGCAAGUUCAAAUCUUGCCCCCGGCA
rnacentral:tRNA from 1 species